rnacentral:rRNA from 1 species
GACGAACGCUGGCGGCGUGCUUAACACAUGCAAGUCGAACGAUGAAGCCCAGCUUGCUGGGUGGAUUAGUGGCGAACGGGUGAGUAACACGUGAGUAACCUGCCCCUGACUCUGGGAUAAGCGUUGGAAACGACGUCUAAUACUGGAUAUGACUACUGGUCGCAUGGCCUGGUGGUGGAAGGAUUUUUUGGUUGGGGAUGGACUCGCUGCCUAUCAGCUUGUUGGUGAGGUAAUGGCUCACCAAGGCGACGAAGGGUAGCCGGCCUGAGAGGGUGACCGGCCACCCUGGGACUGAGACACUGCCCAGACUCCUACGGGAGGCAGCAGUGGGGAAUAUUGCACAAUGGGCGAAAGCCUGAUGCAGCAACGCCGCGUGAGGGAUGACGGCCUUCGGGUUGUAAACCUCUUUUAGUAGGGAAGAAGCGAAAGUGACGGUACCUGCAGAAAAAGCACCGGCUAACUACGUGCCAGCCGCCGCCGUAACAC